AAAGAACAAAAAAAAAUGGCAGAGUAUCCACCGUAGUUCAUCAGAACAGAUCCAGCACAGAACAACACCAAAGCUGAGUAAAAACCACUCACAGAAGAAAUCCAGAAAACAUACCUCAGGUUCCUGCUAUGCCUAAAUCUUCAUCAACAUAUACCAAUCACCUGCAAUCAAAAGAAAACGGCAUCAAUAUUUUUCAUUCUCUGCCAAAUGCCCAAACCACAGGAAAACCUUAUCAAUCUAAAUGAGUCUAAAAGGAAAGUGAAUAUUGACUUAAGCUUGAGAGAUAUAGACAGACAGACAGAUUCACUGUAUGAGUUUUAAUAAGUCAUAUUACUGUGAAUCUCAAAAAUCUGAAGGUUUGUUGAAGGGGUUUAUGGUCCAAAAUCCUGCUCAGACCCAAAUAAAUUUUGUGCAGUGUUCUUCAAAGCUGCUUAUGUCUUUUAAAAUUAUAAAACAAACCAUUAACAAGAAGUAACAACCCAAUAAAUUUGAUAAAUAGUUUCAAGAAAAGAACUGAGAAUCAUUUGGCUUUCAUAUGGAGCAAUGAUUUAAAAAUCUAUAUAUAAGAAAAGAAAAAGAAAAAAUAAAAGGGAAAAUGAAAAAUGGAAAUAGAUCCAGGGACAGUUCCUUAUAGAAAACGAAUAUAAAUCAUUAGCCCCGGAUACCAUAAAAAGGCAGGAGAUCAAAGAGGAAUGGUGGGAACGCUGUCUUGGAAAACAAGCCACAAAGAUAAUACUAAAUGGGUAAGUGAUUUAUGAAUUUGUGCUGUGAAUUUUCUCCAAAUCAACAUAGAUUUUUUUUUUUUUUUUUUGGUGGGUUUCGAAGAGUGAAUGAAUUUUACUUUGAGUUUGAGCGGGUCAAAAAG
rnacentral:lncRNA from 1 species